UUUUCAGCGCAAAGUUCCUCAGCCAUCACCAACAAACAAUUUUUCCUUGGACAAAAAGAUCUCCGCGGGCCGGAUGAGAGGACUUCGCGGGCCGCAUCCGGCCCGCGGGCCGUAGUUUGGAGACCCCUGGUCUAGAGUAUAAUAAGUGAUGGUAGAUCCAGCCGUACUUUUUAUUUCACAUUGCAAGUAAUCUACUUUAUAUAGACCUCUUUUCUAUACGUAAACUGAUGAAAAUGAAGAUAGCAGUUUUUCUUCUCUUGAUUUGCUUUGCAAAUCUCGUUGUCUUAUCAGACAGUUGCGCAAGUUUUGAACAUAAUUGUAAGCAACUUGGUGAACCGUGUUUAAUCUCACGGGUAGAAAAUGAGUGCUGUCAUGAAUUCUUUUGUGAUUCGAAAGGUGUGGCUCAGGCUAUAAGUUUAUAUUUUAAAACCGGAAAAUGUAGAACACGCUAGAUUCAGUACUAUGAAUAAUUCUUCAGGAAAUGAAUUUUAACAAACGCACACAUAUAUACAUAAACAUCAUUUUGAUUGACAUAACCUGAAAAGAACACAAUUAAAAUAAAUGUACUACCCUUCAAAAGAUUCCAUUAUUAUGUAAAAAAA